rnacentral:rRNA from 1 species
AGUGAACGCUGGCGGUAGGCCUAACACAUGCAAGUCGAACGGCAGCACAGAGGAGCUUGCUCCUUGGGUGGCGAGUGGCGGACGGGUGAGGAAUACAUCGGAAUCUACUCUGUCGUGGGGGAUAACGUAGGGAAACUUACGCUAAUACCGCAUACGACCUACGGGUGAAAGCAGGGGAUCUUCGGACCUUGCGCGAUUGAAUGAGCCGAUGUCGGAUUAGCUAGUUGGCGGGGUAAAGGCCCACCAAGGCGACGAUCCGUAGCUGGUCUGAGAGAAUGAUCAGCCACACUGGAACUGAGACACGGUCCAGCCUCCUACGGGAGGCAGCAGUGGGGAAUAUUGGACAAUGGGCGCAAGCCUGAUCCAGCCAUACCGCGUGGGUGAAGAAGGCCUUCGGGUUGUAAAGCCCUUUUGUUGGGAAAGAAAUCCAUCUGGUUAAUACCCGGGUGGGAUGACGGUACCCAAAGAAUAAGCACCGGCUAACUUCGUGCCAGCCGCCGCGGUAA